UACGGGGGGAGCGAACGUUGUUCGGAAUCACUGGGCGUAAAGGGCGCGUAGGCGGCUUCGUAAGUGAGAUGUGAAAGCCCCUGGCUCAACCAGGGAAUUGCGUCUCAUACUGCGGGGCUUGAGUGCAGGAGAGGAUGGGGGAAUUCCCGGUGUAGCGGUGAAAUGCAUUGAUAUCGGGAGGAACACCAGUGGCGAAGGCGCCCAUCUGGCCUGUUACUGACGCUGAGGCGCGAAAGCCGGGGGAGCAAAC
rnacentral:rRNA from 1 species